GUGGGGAAUCUUCCGCAAUGGACGAAAGUCUGACGGAGCAACGCCGCGUGAGUGAUGAAGGUCUUCGGAUUGUAAAGCUCUGUUAAUCGGGACGAAAGAGCCUAGUGUGAAUAAUGCUAGGAAGUGACGGUACCGGAAUAGAAAGCCACGGCUAACUACGUGCCAGCAGCCGCGGUAAUACGUAGGUGGCAAGCGUUGUCCGGAAUUAUUGGGCGUAAAGCGCGCGCAGGCGGAUCUGCCAGUCUGUCUUAAAAGUUCGGGGCUUAACACCGUGAUGGGAUGGAAACUACAGAUCUAGAGUAUCGGAGAGGAAAGUGGAAUUCCUAGUGUAGCGGUGAAAUGCGUAGAUAUUAGGAAGAACACCAGUGGCGAAGGCGACUUUCUGGACGAAAACUGACGCUGAGGCGCGAAAGCCAGGGGAGCGAACGGGAUUAGAUACCCUAGUAGUCC
rnacentral:rRNA from 1 species